rnacentral:rRNA from 1 species
CCUUCGGGUGGCUGCAGUGAGGAAUAUUGGUCAAUGGGCUUACGCCUGAACCAGCCAAGUCGCGUGAGGGAAGACUGCCCUAUGGGUUGUAAACCUCUUUUGUCAGGGAGCAACGCCGGCUACGUGUAGCCGGACUGAGAGUACCUGAAGAAAAAGCAUCGGCUAACUCCGUGCCAGCAGCCGCGGUAAUACGGAGGAUGCGAGCGUUAUCCGGAUUUAUUGGGUGUAAAGGGUGCGUAGGCGGAAUGCCAAGUCAGCGGUAAAAUCGCGGGGCUCAACCUCGCUCCGCCGUUGAAACUGGCGUUAUUGAGUGGGCGAGAAGUAUGCGGAAUGCGUGGUGUAGCGGUGAAAUGCAUAGAUAUCACGAAGAACUCCGAUUGCGAAGGCAGCCUGCUGGACUGUAACUGACGCUGAUGCUCGAAAGUGUGGGUAUCAAACAGGAUUAGAUACCCUGGUAGUC